rnacentral:rRNA from 1 species
UACGUAGGGUGCGAGCGUUAAUCGGAAUUACUGGGCGUAAAGCGUGCGUAGGUGGUUCGUUGUGUCUGUGGUGAAAGCCCCGGGCUUAACCUGGGACCGGCCAUGGAAACUGGCGAGCUGGAGUGUGGCAGAGGGGGGUGGAAUUCCGCGUGUAGCAGUGAAAUGCGUAGAGAUGCGGAGGAACACCGAUGGCGAAGGCAGCCCCCUGGGCUAACACUGACGCUGAGGCACGAAAGCGUGGGGAGCAAACAGG